GCCUUUCGGAGCUGUGCGGCAUUCUGAGCAGGAAUGGCAGUGUGGACCUCUGUGAUGGGACAUCUUGUGGGAUCUCACAGCCAGUUCUGUGGCAAAGGAGGAUGAAGGCUUACGAGGUGCUAGAAUAGAAGACCAGAAAAUGAAAUGGUGGAGUUUGAGGCUGGAUAGACAGUUUGAAAGGGCUCCUGUGACAAGUGGACAUGCAGUGACUGCACCUUUGUUUCUGAGGUGCCUGGAUGGAGGCUCAAAUAGAAGAUGGUGUCAGAUAUAUUGUGUUAAAAUUUUACCAUUAAAGUGUAUUAUAACAUGAA
rnacentral:lncRNA from 1 species